rnacentral:rRNA from 1 species
GGCGGCGUGCUUAACACAUGCAAGUCGAACGGAAAGGCCCUGCUUUUGUGGGGUGCUCGAGUGGCGAACGGGUGAGUAACACGUGAGUAACCUGCCCUUGACUUUGGGAUAACUUCAGGAAACUGGGGCUAAUACCGGAUAGGAGCUCCUGCUGCAUGGUGGGGGUUGGAAAGUUUCGGCGGUUGGGGAUGGACUCGCGGCUUAUCAGCUUGUUGGUGGGGUAGUGGCUUACCAAGGCUUUGACGGGUAGCCGGCCUGAGAGGGUGACCGGCCACAUUGGGACUGAGAUACGGCCCAGACUCCUACGGGAGGCAGCAGUGGGGAAUAUUGCACAAUGGGCGGAAGCCUGAUGCAGCAACGCCGCGUGCGGGAUGACGGCCUUCGGGUUGUAAACCGCUUUCGCCUGUGACGAAGCGUGAGUGACGGUAAUGGGUAAAGAAGCACCGGCUAACUACGUGCCAGCAGCCGCGGUGAUACGUAGGGUGCGAGCGUUGUCCGGAUUUAUUGGGCGUAAAGGGCUCGUAGGUGGUUGAUCGCGUCGGAAGUGUAAUCUUGGGGCUUAACCCUGAGCGUGCUUUCGAUACGGGUUGACUUGAGGAAGGUAGGGGAGAAUGGAAUUCCUGGUGGAGCGGUGGAAUGCGCAGAUAUCAGGAGGAACACCAGUGGCGAAGGCGGUUCUCUGGGCCUUUCCUGACGCUGAGGAGCGAAAGCGUGGGGAGCGAACAGGCUUAGAUACCCUGGUAGUCCACGCUGUAAACGGUGGGUACUAGGUGUGGGGUCCAUUCCACGGGUUCCGUGCCGUAGCUAACGCUUUAAGUACCCCGCCUGGGGAGUACGGCCGCAAGGCUAAAACUCAAAGGAAUUGACGGGGCCCCGCACAAGCGGCGGAGCAUGCGGAUUAAUUCGAUGCAACGCGUAGAACCUUACCUGGGUUUGACAUGGAUCGGGAGUGCUCAGAGAUGGGUGUGCCUCUUUUGGGGUCGGUUCACAGGUGGUGCAUGGCUGUCGUCAGCUCGUGUCGUGAGAUGUUGGGUUAAGUCCCGCAACGAGCGCAACCCUUGUUCACUGUUGCCAGCACGUUAUGGUGGGGACUCAGUGGAGACCGCCGGGGUCAACUCGGAGGAAGGUGGGGAUGACGUCAAGUCAUCAUGCCCCUUAUGUCCAGGGCUUCACGCAUGCUACAAUGGCUGGUACAGAGAGUGGCGAGCCUGUGAGGGUGAGCGAAUCUCGGAAAGCCGGUCUCAGUUCGGAUUGGGGUCUGCAACUCGACCUCAUGAAGUCGGAGUCGCUAGUAAUCGCAGAUCAGCAACGCUGCGGUGAAUACGUUCCCGGGGCUUGUACACACCGCCCGUCAAGUCAUGAAAGUUGGUAACACCCGAAGCCGGUGGCCUAACCGUUGUGGGGGAGCCGUCGAAGGUGGGACUGGUGAUUAGGACUAAGAC